ncrna:Nicotiana tabacum cultivar TN90 Ntab-TN90_scaffold3084, whole genome shotgun sequence
UUAGCGGCAUAAGCAGAAGACUGUUGAAAGUUGAUGAAGGCUAGACAAUGUAUAGCAAUUACAAUGGGAAGCAAGGCUGUAAGGCGGAGCGAAUCCGGAAAGAUUGCCUCAGUUCGGAUUGUUUUCUGCAACUCGGGAAGAUGAAGUUGGAAUUGCUAGUAAUCGCUGAUCAGCAUGCCGUGGUGAAUACGUACCCGGACCCUAUACAUACCGCUCGUCACACCCUGGGAAUUGGUUUCGCCCGAAGCAUCGAACCAAUGAUCACCCAUGACUUCUGUGGCACACUAGUGCCACAAGGCCUUUGGUGGUCUUAUUGGCGCAUACUACGGUGGGAUCUUCGACUGGGGUGAAGUCGUAACAAGGUAGCCGUAGGGGAACGUUCCUGUGGCUG